UUUACUUCCCCCUCAGCCUCAUUCAUUCCCCUCCCUCCCCAUUCGCCUCCGGAGUUUCUUCUCCCCUUCUGCUGCCAUGGUCGAGCUCAAGAGGCUCUCAAAGAGCCUGGACUGAUCCAGAUCAAGCUAUCGGCACUCACUCCCACGUCUACGAUCUAGCUUCGAGCUCUUCUCCUUCGAGAUGUACCGAGGCACCUACCUUGGCCUCUUCCAUCUUCAUCGGUGCCAACCUCAGUAGCAACCCCCUCUGGAACUGCAACGGUAUUGCCGGCAUCGCAGCCAUGCACGCCCUCGGUGUCUGGUUUAUCGGCCUUUCCCUCCACCAAGAAGGGCCACCCCCCUUGACAGUGGCCUCGUCUCCAAAACCGCCGCCAGUGGUGUCGCCGCCGAUGGCCUCUUGGACCGCCACCUCUAUCCCGGCGACCACAUUGACGAUGUCCUAAAAGAUCGAACUUGCUGGACUACAGCAUCAUUUUCCAACUAAAUUGCAGCAUGAGAAUUGAGCAACUGGAGUAUAGCAAGAAGUAUUAGUUGAUGAAAUUGAAGUGAUUUUGUAAUCCAUGAUACAACAAACAAGAAAAAUAAUUUUGUAAUCCAUGCUGAUAUUUGGAUUGAAUUAAUCACUGUUAUGUUUACGAUUUGACCAACCAUAGGAAAUCAUUUCAUGGAAGUUCUGUCAAAUGUACUAUGAUUCAAAUUAGUUGAGAAAUGGAGUUCCUGUCAUUACAUAU